rnacentral:lncRNA from 1 species
CACAGCUCUGAUCUGGCAUGGCUGUGGCUGUGGCGUUGGCCGGCGGCUACAGCUCUGAUUCCACCCCUAGCCUGGGAACCUCCAUGUGCCUUGGGUACAGCCCUAAAAAGACCAAAAAAAAAAAAAAAAAGAAAAGGUAAUGCCGAGAGGACACAGUGAGGUCUGUCGCAAUGUUUUUAGAUUUUCUAUCUGUUGUUUUCUUUAACAGUUGAAUCUGCAGGUGGCAAACAAAUCCAGAGGGUAUUCAUUUGAGAAUGAAGGUUUCCUGCUUGAUUUCCCAUUUUGUCACAGUUUAAUGAUCACUAACAUCAACAUUUCUACAUUUCUAUUUCCCACUGGUUUUUAUAAAAUAGUAAGUAGGAAAUGCAAUCUCCAAUUCAGUGCUCAAGGAAUAACAACAAUGCCUAAAACCUAUAAACACUGACUGUGGGCCAGGUUUACUUCAUCCUCUCAGUAAUGAUCCAAGGACGAUAUCAUUGCUCUUUUACAGAUAAAGGAAUGGCGGCCCAGGGAGGUUCAGAAAUUUGCUCGAGGACACACAGCCAUGACGGGGCAAAAGCCUGGCAGUCUUGCUUCCCGCGUGCUCCGUCUAUGUGACUGCUAGAAAUAGUCCCCCAGCUGACUGUUGAAAGCACGAGUGUGGCACAUGACAGGGGGUUAGCGGUGUCAGUAUGCGUGCAUAUAAAGGCAGACUUUUCAAAAUCAAGCACAUCCGCACCAGUGUGGCACAAAAUGGUUUAUGGUUACAGCAGGUAGGAAUUUAAAUCUGUUACCUCGGCUGGGCUAGAAGCAUGGUUUCUUCAUUUCCACGGCCUGAAAUGAGUUUUCUUUGAAGACACGUUUCGUCCAAUGAGGGGAGUUCAUCUCAUUGGGGGCUGCCUUGGCUCUUUCCCAAGAGUAUUCAAGUUGGGAUUUUCACCUCAAGAUAGAGAUACCCGAGUGAUGAUACGUGAGGCUGAGACAGUCCGAGAUCUGCCCCAGGUUUCCGGACCUAGGGAGGGACCUAACUGCUCCAGCUCCCAGCUUGCUCCAGGCUGCCAUGAGGAACCAUCAGCCCUCAGAGCCCAGACACGACAGUGCCAUCCUACCACCAGCUCCACUCAAGCUCCUGCCCUGGAUAAUCUCCUCUGGCUUUCUGUCUGAUGGCUGGGGUCCCACUACCCUUGGAAUAACCUUCAGAUAACAACGUUUCCCCAUGUCCUGACCAGAUUAGUCUGGGAACCUCAGUGAAAUGACUCUGAGAUCAGGACAAUAAUGGGCUUGGCUAUGGGCGGCUGUCCCAGCAGAGGCUGGGACAGUGAGGCAGGGGUUGACAGGCUCCAAGUGAGAUAUGGAAAGAAACAAACAUGCAUAAAGAUUGAUUUCUCAAUAAUUUCUCCAUAGGAGUUCUCCCUUCUGAGGCUGGACUGGGAGUUUGGGAUUAGCAGAUAUAAACUAUCACAUAUAGGAUGGAUAACAACAAGCUCCUACUCGGAGUUCCUGUCAUGGCACAGUGGUUAAUGAAUCCGACUAGGAACCAUGAGGUUGCGGGUUCGAUCCCUGGCCUCACUCAGUGGGUUAAGGAUCCGGUGUUGCCAUGAGCUGUGGUGUAGGUUGCAGACGUGGCUCAGCUCCCGCGUUGCUCUGGCUCUGGUGUAGGCCGGCAGCUACAGCUCCGAUUGGACCCUUAGCCUGGGAACCUCCAUAUGCCACGAGAGCGGCCCAAGAAAUGGCAAAAAGACAUAAAAAAACAAAACAAAACAAAAAAAACCAAGGUCCUACUCGAUAGCACAGGGAACCACAUUCAAUGUCCUGUGAUAAACCAUAAUGGAAAGGAAUACAAGAACUAUAUUGUAAAUUUCUUAUAUAUAUAAUUUAUGUAUAAAUUUCUUAUAUAUGUAAGAAUGUAUAAAUUAUAUAUAAUUAUAUAAAUUUCCUAUAUAUAUAAAUUAAAAAAUAUAUAUUUUUACACAUAUUGGUCCUAGGCCAACUAAACAAAGCCUGUUCCUUUAGCAAGUCCUCCAAUGGAUGGUCCCCAGUGGAAGGCCUUGCUGAUACCCGCUGUCGCUCUAAUGAGGGGCUUAGGGCUGGCCACCGUGGUGUCAGAUACAUACACACACACACACAUAUAUACAUAUAUAUACACACAUAUGCAUAUAUAUAU